rnacentral:lncRNA from 1 species
AUCGAAUUCUUUUACACAGAUUUAGAAGGAAUCCAUGACUCCCUAUCAUCAGCUUAGACUCUAGCAAGAGAUCUCAGGGGCAGGUCAACAUAGGGCAAGAUUCCUGCUUAGUGUGACCUCAUUCUCGACCAUAGCCAGACCUCUUUCUAUUUAGGCUAGGGGAUCGUGUUCUAUAGAAAGACAUAGGCGAUCUCUUACUGUAACAGAACUAGGACCGUCAACUCUAACUGUAGCAGCGGGAAUCCCCUCCCCACCCUAGCCGGAAUGGAGGAAGAACUUUCACUGGAGACAUCAGAUGUUGCAGAUGGUUGGGUUGGUCCGACCAAGAAAGCCAUGGGAGCAAGGGGCUCGAAAGCUUCCUGAAUGGAAAACCAAGGCUGAAUUUCAUGCUUUCAAGCACAGUCUUCCAUCGUUCCUCCACUGGCACGAAGCCCGGGGACGUGGAGAUUGCUUUACAGGCAGUAACAAUCAGUUGGUACACUUUCGAUUUCGACGAAUCCGCACUUGGCCUGAAAGUCCCAUCCCUAGGACCUGUAGUAGCACAAAAUUUUUAACCUGCCUGCAUUUGGAGAUGACCACAAUGUGUUUAUAUUUGUUUUUAUUUUUAUUUUUUUUGUGUUGGUCUAAUUGAAUUUAGAUCAAGUUUGAUUAGGUUAAUAAAUUAUUAAGAAUAUUGCUUAAUCAACUUGUUUUCACAAAUUCAACAUAUUUUUAUUAGAUUUAAAUUUUAUCAAUGAAUUUUUAUAAUCAACUUAUUAAACAGACUAGUUUAACAAUUAUGAUAAUUCAUAUCGUGAUUUUUAAUUGAUAACUCUUGUCAAUUUCUUUAUUUUUAGUUUUAUAUAUAUAUAGUCUCUUUAUAUUUAUGUUAAACCUGUUUCUUUGAUUAUUUUAAUUGUAUUAUGUAGUUUAUUUUUUAUAUUUUUUAUUUUUUAAAAUUAUUUAAUAGAAUAUUAGAGCUAAAUUUUAUAAAAUUUCCAUAUCUACCAUGCUAAAAUCUUAAAGAAGGUUACUCGAUGUAGACCCUUCGGAAGAGAGAUGAUUAACAUGUUCCAAAUCCCCACACCAAUUCGAAUUCAACAAAAUUAGAUUAGAAAAGAGAGAAAAAAAACGAAUAGUUAAAUUAUUAUUAUUAUUUUAAACAUAAUAAUUAAAGAUUUAAUUUAUUGAAAAUAAGAAAAGGUAACGUGAGAAUCUACCCUUUGUGAUCAAAUUUACUGGCCUUUCUUGCCUUGGAGGAGAAAUAGAUCAUCAAUGCACGCAUAAUAUCUUGGAUUGAACAGCAGAUGUUCUCAAACAACUCGAUCCCUUUUCUUCAACUUUUCCUCCUGUUAAUAUUUUAGCAAAUCGCUUCUUCCUUUUUCUUUUCUUUUUCAUAAAUUAAACAGUGCUUAGCAUUACGUUUUGAAAGCAUUUUAAAAAAAUUUAAAAUUUUUUUAUUUUUUACUUCAAAUUAAUAUAUUUUUGAUAUUUUCAGAUCAUUUUGAUUUUGAUGUGCUGAUAUCAAAAAUAAUUUUUAAAAAAUAAAAAAAAGUAACUGCUAUCACACUCCCCAACACCUCUCUUAAAUGUAAGAAAAAAAAACUGAAGAACCGAUUAAACCGAGAAAACUGGAAAAAAAUAAUCGAAAAAACCGAUUAAAAUUUUGAAAUAACCGACUGGUUCGAUUUUGGUUUUAUAAGCUUGAAAUCAAAAAAACCAAACCAAACCGAACCCAAACCGGAAAAAAACCUAGCCAAACCUGUUUGAACCGGUUUUUAUCUAAAAAACCGAACUGAACCGAAACCGGUCGGUUUCGACCGGUUUCGGUUUUUUUUUAAAAAUUUGGUUUGGUUAAUUUUUUUAUAAAAACCAAAUCGAACCGAAAAUGAUCACCUCUAACCUUUCUAAGUAGCCUGAAUUAUUAUGUUUGGAAUGAAAUUUUACAUUAUAAGAUUCCAUUAAAAUGGGAAAAUAGAUUCAAAUUUCUUUUCUGGCCCUAUUUCCAUUUAAUUUUGACCCUAGAUAAAUUUCCAACCUAAAUAAAUAUAGUUUUCUCAAGAACAAAAAAUACUAUUAAAUGAAAGUUAUAUAGUUCGAGAUGUCGGUAAUGAAAACCAUUCUGGUUCAUCAAAACCAUCUAACUCAAUUUAUGAUUCUCUAAAAAUGUCCAAAAAAAAAAUUACCAAACACAAACACUAAUUUUAUGAAAUAUAAAUCAUUACUUAUAGUUUAAUUAAUGACUCACAAAACCAAACUACCACACACAGCUCACAUAAUUUUUAUUUCACACGACACCCACAUAGGUUGCCACACGACAACCUCCUUAGAAGAUUAAAUCCUCAUAAUAUAAGAAUUGAAGAUCAAUACCUACCUACCUACUUAGUUUGUUUUCAUAGUGAAAAAAAUACUUUUUUUGAUGUUUUAAUAUUUUAAUGUACGAUUAUUAAAAAUAAAAUUUAAAAAAUAAAAAAUAUUAUUUUAAUAUAUUUUUAAAUAAAAAAUAAUUUAAAAAUAACAAAAAAAUCUCGAUAAAAUACAUGGAUGAAAAGGGAUUAAAAGUGCAAUCCAGCAAAAUCAACCGAGUUGUCAAAAUCAACACCAGCAACUCGCUUGAGAGAGAAAAGGACAGGACCGAGGAGAAGGGAAGGAAGAAGGGUGGUUUAGGAAGAUAAUUUUCAACGAUCAAUUCUCUAGUAAAUAGCAUCCCUUGAAACGGACCCAUUCCAGCGUUUGAAAUUAUUAUGAAUAAGUUAAUGAUUGUUUUAAUAUUUUGAAAAUAUUUUUAAUAUUUUUAAUUUUAAUAUAUUAAUAUUUAAAAUAAUUUUUAAAAAAUAUAAAAAAAUAAUUUUAGUAAAAUACAUGGAUGAAUUGUUGGUUGAAUAAAUAUAAAAGGAGCAUAAAUGCUUUUACUAUCUUCGUACCUGUCCACCGUCAUGUGCCCUUUUUUUCUUUCAAUUCUUUGAGCGCAUGCUUGUCAACAGACUGGGAAAAAACAAAGAUCAAUCAUUAUUUCAAUUUGAACUAGCUUAGACUAUUUUGUAUUCGACAGGUGGGAUUGGAACAUAGAGACACAUAGUCUUGGCUGAAGAAUUAACAUUACAGAUACUGACAAUCAUUUAUAGAGCCAAAAAUCUCAUCGACAUUACAUCCACCAGAGCCAUAUAAUAUUUGUUUUCUGGCUAGCGCAACGGUCGAUGCGUCCUUCGAUUAUUUUUUUCCACACUAUGUCAUUGCAUUUAAAACCUUACUGUAUUGGGACCCCAACAGCCCAGAUGCAUAAUUUUGUCUGCAUAUAGCUCUGAUUUCUUCAUCUCAACAUUUCCAACCUGAUCAAUCAUCGUCGAUGUGAAAGAAGAAUUAGAAGAAGAGUGUGUCUUUACCUGGGAAGAUGAUCUCAAGCUCUUCUUGGCUUGUUCUUCCAAUGACCUUAUAGUAUAGUUCCAUCUGCAAAUUCCUAAUUGGUCUUUCAAUGCUUCAACAGUAGCAAUAGCAGCUGCCACAAUCCAGGCUCCACCUGCUGCGCUCAUCACCCUUUGCUUC